UAUCAGUCCGGAACGGUAGCCU
rnacentral:siRNA from 1 species